rnacentral:sRNA from 1 species
GUCAGGUGUGGUGACGCACACCUGUAAUCCCAGCAGCUCUAGAGGCUGAGGUAGGAGGAUAGUGAAUUCAAAAGCAUGGUGCUAAGCAACUCAGUGAGACCCUGUCUCUA